UUUGACUGAAAUAUGGUAGAAGGAAUGAAAAAUCUAAGGACUGACUCCAUCAUCUCCAAAGACAUCUUUGGUAUCAAAAAGUCGUGGACUAACCAUAAAAUCUUGUUCAAUAAAUGGAAUGCAUUAGUUAUCUUCUCUUAUGUUGGUAGCAAAAGUCGAAGAAGGGAAACCAUUCAUUUUUAAAACCAGCAUUCGAAAGAGUUGAAUCGAAAAGGGGAAAGUUCUUUAUUCUUAGUCUCCUAUAGUUGAGUUCUCCUUAACUAAAAAAAUCAUUACUCAGAAUAAAAUUCCAACUCGAACAGUUUUUAAACUUUUGAGAAGAGUUAC
rnacentral:lncRNA from 1 species